rnacentral:lncRNA from 1 species
CUUAAAACAACACGUAUGCAUUGUCUCCCAGCUCUAGAGGCUAGAAAUUGGCAGUCAGGAUGUGUGUAAGGCCACGCUCCCUCUGAAGACUCCAGGGGAGGAUCUUUCCUUGCCUCCUCCAGCUUCUGGUGGCUGCCAGCAUCCUUGGCAUUCCUUGGCCUGUGGACACAUCACUCUCAUCUCUGCCCAUGGUCACAACCCCAAGCUCCAGAAUACAGACCAGCAGGCGAGGAGACAAGGAGGCAAGCAGAUGGAUGGUGGAACAAAGUGGCAGAGAAAGAGAGAAGAGGAGAGAUGUCUGGACGCCAAGAGGAGUCUGGCUGGGGCCAGUCAGAGAAGAGUCCAGCGGCUGGGCAGCCCGACUCCAGGGGAAGAUCACCUUCCCACUCCAUCCCCCUUCACGCUCCCCAUCCAUCUCACUAAGAGCCAUCUCUACCACUCAAUAAAAC